UGCAGUCGAGCGGUAGCACAGGAGAGCUUGCUCUCGGGUGACGAGCGGCGGACGGGUGAGUAAUGUCUGGGAAACUGCCUGAUGGAGGGGGAUAACUACUGGAAACGGUAGCUAAUACCGCAUAACGUCGAAAGACCAAAGUGGGGGACCUUCGGGCCUCUGCCAUCAGAUGUGCCCAGAUGGGAUUAGCUAGUAGGUGGGGUAAUGGCUCACCUAGGCGACGAUCCCUAGCUGGUCUGAGAGGAUGACCAGCCACACUGGAACUGAGACACGGUCCAGACUCCUACGGGAGGCAGCAGUGGGGAAUAUUGCACAAUGGGCGCAAGCCUGAUGCAGCCAUGCCGCGUGUAUGAAGAAGGCCUUCGGGUUGUAAAGUACUUUCAGCGAGGAGGAAGGCUUAAGGUUAAUAACCUUAGAUUGACGUUACUCGCAGAAGAAGCACCGGCUAACUCCGUGCCAGCAGCCGCGGUAAUACGGAGGGUGCAAGCGUUAAUCGGAAUUACUGGGCGUAAAGCGCACGCAGGCGGUUGUAAGUCAGAUGUGAAAUCCCCGGGCUCAACCUGGGAACUGCAUUUGAAACUGGCAAGCUUGAGUCUUGUAGAGGGGGGUAGAAUUCCAGGUGUAGCGGUGAAAUGCGUAGAGAUCUGGAGGAAUACCGGUGGCGAAGCGGCCCCCUGGACAAGACUGACGCUC
rnacentral:rRNA from 1 species